rnacentral:rRNA from 1 species
AGAGUUUGAUCCUGGCUCAGGAUGAACGCUGGCGGCGUGCCUAACACAUGCAAGUCGAGCGAUUCUCUUCGGAGAAGAGCGGCGGACGGGUGAGUAACGCGUGGGUAACCUGCCCUGUACACACGGAUAACAUACCGAAAGGUAUGCUAAUACGAGAUAAUAUGCUUUUAUCGCAUGGUAGAAGUAUCAAAGCUUUUGCGGUACAGGAUGGACCCGCGUCUGAUUAGCUAGUUGGUAAGGUAACGGCUUACCAAGGUGACGAUCAGUAGCCGACCUGAGAGGGUGAUCGGCCACAUUGGAACUGAGACACGGUCCAAACUCCUACGGGAGGCAGCAGUGGGGAAUAUUGCACAAUGGGCGAAAGCCUGAUGCAGCAACGCCGCGUGAGCGAUGAAGGCCUUCGGGUCGUAAAGCUCUGUCCUCAAGGAAGAUAAUGACGGUACUUGAGGAGGAAGCCCCGGCUAACUACGUGCCAGCAGCCGCGGUAAUACGUAGGGGGCUAGCGUUAUCCGGAAUUACUGGGCGUAAAGGGUGCGUAGGUGGUUUCUUAAGUCAGAGGUGAAAGGCUACGGCUCAACCGUAGUAAGCCUUUGAAACUGGGAAACUUGAGUGCAGGAGAGGAGAGUGGAAUUCCUAGUGUAGCGGUGAAAUGCGUAGAUAUUAGGAGGAACACCAGUUGCGAAGGCGGCUCUCUGGACUGUAACUGACACUGAGGCACGAAAGCGUGGGGAGCAAACAGGAUUAGAUACCCUGGUAGUCCACGCCGUAAACGAUGAGUACUAGCUGUCGGAGGUUACCCCCUUCGGUGGCGCAGCUAACGCAUUAAGUACUCCGCCUGGGAAGUACGCUCGCAAGAGUGAAACUCAAAGGAAUUGACGG